ensembl:lncRNA
AGGAUGCUGAAUGCAAACAUUUGAAGAUCCAUGGUGAGACUGGAAGAGAUGGAGAACAUCAAAGUGUUAGCUCUGAACAACAGGAAGUUUCAAAUUUGUGUCAAAACGAGGUCCAAAGCUCAGACGGAGACACAGGAUCACUAAGUCAGCCUCCCACCAAAAAAGCAGGGGAGCUUUCUGCUGGACUUUCUGAACACCUGAAGCAGCCAAGUACCUCACAGACAGACGAUGCCGCAUCAGCUGGUCACUCAUAUGGUUUUCACAGCGCUGAAAACUUGGGAUCAUGUCAGACACAUACAGAAACACGUACUCCUUCUGAUGUUAUUUCAGAUAUGACGCAAACAGAUGAAAUCUUUGAUGUACCUGUGAGUGAAAAACUGGCAGAACCUGAGCAGCUGCUGGAAAGCUUAGAGCAGAAAGAUGGGCAGCGGAAGUCUGUGGUAACUGUUGAAGGAAAGGGUGAUCCAAGUGUAGAGAACAGAAGAAAAGAUGAAUCAAGUGUAGAUACGAAUGUCUAUCAAACACCUAUGGAAGAAUCCCACUUAAAAGAUGGCAAUGUUAAUAUUACGAUGGGUGCCAUAACCCUUGAUUCUGAGGUGAAAAGUGAGCAUAUAAAGGACACAGAAGAUACAAAGAAGACUAAAAGUGAAACAGAUCCGAAGCUGCCACUCGUUACAAGUCUGGGUCACAAGCAGCCUGAGUUAGGAGAGAAGCUGCUGAGUGAUUGUGGCAAGUCGUCUCUGCCCAGCAAAAAGACUUACAGGCCAUUAUUUGAGUGGGCCGCUGCCGAGAGAAGAAAGUCAAACUCCAGAACAAAGUCAGAUGUCACCAUAGCGCACCAGCCAAUCCAGGGAUCUUCUCUGUCUGAGCAGAAUACAACUGCUGGAUUCCCAGGACAUCCUGCCAGCACAAUAAUACCCAAGCCCCUCAAAAGCAAACACGACAAUGUCCCCUUGGUGAUUAUGAGGGCGUCAGACCUGUUGAAUGCCUCCAGUGUCUGUGGGACCGCACCUUCCCUGAGGAGAAAGCAGCAGGGACUCUGGGAAGCAGUGCAGGAGACCUGCAGAGAGAGAACAGCAGCAGAUACGGAUGGCAGAGCUCCUCCGCCAAGCUGUUCUUUUCCAGCCUCCAGCACAGGCAGCAAACUGUCAUGGCAAACCACUGCAGAGUGUAGCAGAGCUCCUACCUUAGCUGCAGGACCUAGUUCAGAGUCCAACUGGGAACUCUCCUGCUCCCAGGAGAGGGACGAUCAACAGGAAUCAUUCAGGGCGCAGAUCUCAAAAAUCGAACAGUUCCUCAAGACAGAGAGACUCCGUCUGCCCAAAAGACAACGAACUGAACCAAAUCUGUAGAAACUGCUGGUCGUCUUUAUUCGCUGUCCUAGGUGAGACAUUGUGUGGCACACGUUUGACAGUUAUUGUUAGCGCAGGUCUAAAUGUUCUGAAACAUAAUUGCUUUUUAAUAUAUACAUGUGUUACUGAUUCCUUUGAACUGUAUAGUUUCUUCUAACAUUGCUGUUUGAAGUUUAAAGUUUUUUGGGUCAAAUCAUUAAUUCUUCACUUUAUUGUUAUUUUAACAUUUCUGUGCUUUAAAUGGAAAACUGCAGAGUUUGUGUGUUUGUUUCACACGUGUGUAUUUUUAUGUUUUUAAGUGAAGAGAUGAAAAUAAGAUAAGAUAGCCUUUCUAAGUGACAAAUAUACAAUACUACUACUGCUACGUUGGUAAGAUUUUAUUUUAUCACACAGUUGCAUGUGAUUUAAGUAAUUUUAAAAAGGCUCUGAUGUCACCAGUGUAAAAAUCCAACAUUUCCAA